GAGUCUAAAGAGUCCUCAAGUUUGAGUUGGAAGCUUUUUAAUAUCUAUCAUGAUUUGUUUAAUGAAUAAUGGGAAGUUCCAUUUCCAGGUACAACUUAGACAAUACCAUGCAUGGUUUCUACAUUGCCCCGGCUUUCAUGGACAAGCUUGUUAUCCACGUUAGCAAGAAUUUCAUGACCUUGCCUAACAUUAAGGUUCCACUCAUUCUGGGUAUUUGGGGAGGGAAAGGUCAGGGAAAAUCAUUCCAAUGUGAACUUGUCUUUGCCAAGAUGGGAAUCAAUGACCUUAUGCACAGGUGUAGAUAAAGCUAUUAUGAAAAGCAGAGAAGGUUGCAGGCAGAGACAUAUGAUGGCUAGAUGGAGGGAUUUCUUUUAUAUGUAUUUAGAACAUUUUGAACAUAUUAUUAUAAAUAUUAUAUGAUUUUCAUUGUAAAGUAAUAUAAUUUAUUUAGUAUUCAUUUUUAA